AGAGUUUGAUCAUGGCUCAGAUUGAACGCUGGCGGCAGGCCUAACACAUGCAAGUCGAACGGUAACAGAAAGCAGCUUGCUGCUUUGCUGACGAGUGGCGGACGGGUGAGUAAUGUCUGGGAAACUGCCCGAUGGAGGGGGAUAACUACUGGAAACGGUAGCUAAUACCGCAUAACGUCGCAAGACCAAAGAGGGGGACCUUCGGGCCUCUUGCCAUCGGAUGUGCCCAGAUGGGAUUAGCUAGUAGGUGGGGUAAAGGCUCACCUAGGCGACGAUCCCUAGCUGGUCUGAGAGGAUGACCAGCCACACUGGAACUGAGACACGGUCCAGACUCCUACGGGAGGCAGCAGUGGGGAAUAUUGCACAAUGGGCGCAAGCCUGAUGCAGCCAUGCCGCGUGUAUGAAGAAGGCCUUCGGGUUGUAAAGUACUUUCAGCGGGGAGGAAGGGAGUAAAGUUAAUACCUUUGCUCAUUGACGUUACCCGCAGAAGAAGCACCGGCUAACUCCGUGCCAGCAGCCGCGGUAAUACGGAGGGUGCAAGCGUUAAUCGGAAUUACUGGGCGUAAAGCGCACGCAGGCGGUCUGUCAAGUCGGAUGUGAAAUCCCCGGGCUCAACCUGGGAACUGCAUUCGAAACUGGCAGGCUAGAGUCUUGUAGAGGGGGGUAGAAUUCCAGGUGUAGCGGUGAAAUGCGUAGAGAUCUGGAGGAAUACCGGUGGCGAAGGCGGCCCCCUGGACGAAGACUGACGCUCAGGUGCGAAAGCGUGGGGAGCAAACAGGAUUAGAUACCCUGGUAGUCCACGCCGUAAACGAUGUCGACUUGGAGGUUGUGCCCUUGAGGCGUGGCUUCCGGAGCUAACGCGUUAAGUCGACCGCCUGGGGAGUACGGCCGCAAGGUUAAAACUCAAAUGAAUUGACGGGGGCCCGCACAAGCGGUGGAGCAUGUGGUUUAAUUCGAUGCAACGCGAAGAACCUUACCUGGUCUUGACAUCCACAGAACUUUCCAGAGAUGGAUUGGUGCCUUCGGGAACUGUGAGACAGGUGCUGCAUGGCUGUCGUCAGCUCGUGUUGUGAAAUGUUGGGUUAAGUCCCGCAACGAGCGCAACCCUUAUCCUUUGUUGCCAGCGGUCCGGCCGGGAACUCAAAGGAGACUGCCAGUGAUAAACUGGAGGAAGGUGGGGAUGACGUCAAGUCAUCAUGGCCCUUACGACCAGGGCUACACACGUGCUACAAUGGCGCAUACAAAGAGAAGCGACCUCGCGAGAGCAAGCGGACCUCAUAAAGUGCGUCGUAGUCCGGAUUGGAGUCUGCAACUCGACUCCAUGAAGUCGGAAUCGCUAGUAAUCGUGGAUCAGAAUGCCACGGUGAAUACGUUCCCGGGCCUUGUACACACCGCCCGUCACACCAUGGGAGUGGGUUGCAAAAGAAGUAGGUAGCUUAACCUUCGGGAGGGCGCUUACCACUUUGUGAUUCAUGACUGGGGUGAAGUCGUAACAAGGUAACCGUAGGGGAACCUGCGGUUG
rnacentral:rRNA from 1 species